ensembl:lncRNA
CUGGGGAAUCAGUAAAAGCACAUUCUCUCUUUCAAAGCCUUUCAUUAAAGAGAGAGAGAGGUUGUUGGAUCCAACUCAAAGAAAUGGCUUAUCCUCUUCCCCAGGCAGGCCUUGGCAUCAGGCUUAAGCAGCCAAGCCAUAAAUGCAUCUUCGUUGUUAUAGGCUCUAACAGCACCUGGCCUAGGAACACUGGCCUUCCAGAUGGUCUUAUUUUGCAUAUUGCUUUUUAGCCAAAUCAAGAGGCAUAUCUUUUUAAAAUAAAAAAUAAAUAAAUAGUUGGGUGUGAUUUGACGGCAAGCCAUUCUGAGCGCCAUCUGGUGGGAAAGCUGAUGAGAAAUGUAAAUAGCAGUCUAUUGAUUAACCUGAUGGUUAUCACCAGGCAAUCCAUCAGUCUGUCAAGGGUUGUUGCCUAUAUGGGCACGCCUUCUUGAAUAGGAAAGGUAACACAGUUGGGUCAGCCUUCAAGUGCUGAAAGAUAUGAAAAGGAGUCCAGUUGGUGAUAGAUACCAUAUGAUCCUCAUGAGGUUGGCAGAAGCUGGGGCUAACAGCAGGAGCUCACCCCGCUCCCCGGAUUUGAACCACCAACCUUUUGGUAAGCAAGUUCAGCAGCUCAGCAGUUUAACCCGAUGCCACCAGGACUCCUAGCAAUAGAUUUAUAUGAUAUAUGUAUGUGCAGAAAGUACUGUAAGAUCUGUUUGGCUCUAGUAACCAUAUUCUUGGGCUCAAGAUUCUUUUACUUCAGAAGUUAUGUUUUUUUUGCACCAGGCUCUUUUUCAUAGAUUUUAGUAAAAACAUAAACAAAGUUUCAAUCAUCACAUUGCUGAUCUUGUUGUUGUGGGCAGUGUUGUGUAUCUUCAAGUUGUUUCCAAUUCAUAGGGACCCCCAAGGCAACCUAACAUAGAGUUUUCUUGGCAAGAAUUCUUCAGAACGAAUUUUGCCUUGACCUUCCUCUGAGGCUGAGAGAGUGUAACUUGCCCAAGACCACUCAAUGCCUUCCAUAGUCAAGCAUGAACUUGAACACUGGUUUUGCAGUCAUAGUCCAGCACUCAAACCACUAAACCACAGGUUCUUAAAAAAAUACCCCCCCCCAUAUAUGGGGAAAUGAGCCCCCAGUGGCGCAGCGGCUUAAACCGCUGAGCUUCUGAACUUGCUAACAAAAAGGUCGGCGGUUCAAAUCUGUGGAGCGGGAUGAGCUCUCACUGGUAGGCCCAGCUUCUGUCAACCUAGCAGUUCAAAACAUGCAAAUGUGAAUAGAUCAAUAGGUAAUAAUAAUAAUAAUAAUAAUAAUAAUAAUAAUAAUAAUAAUAAUAAUUAGAACUUUUAUGGUCCAGUUCUUUUUAGGAGCCAAACCAGUAUUUUAUCAAACAUGUUUGUUUUAUGACUUGCUUUAUUGUUGAUUGAUUUGUGUUAUUGUUGUGUUAUAUAUUGUCUGUUUUGCCUGGGCUUGGCCCAUGUAAGCCACCCUGAGUCCCCUUGGGGAGAUGGGGCGGGGUAUAAAAAUAAAAUAAUAAUAAUUAUUAUUGUUAUUGUUAUUAUUACCACUCCAGCAGGAAGGUAACAGCGUUCCAUGCACUCAUGCUGGCCACAUGACUUUGGAGCUGUCUAAGGACGGCUUAGAAAUGGAGAUGAGUACCCUGAUUUGGAUAUGACUAGACUUAAUGUCAGGGGAAACCCUUUACUUUUUUAUAUAUGGGGAAAGUCUGUCACAAUCUGAGAACAGCUCCUAAAAUUCUGGCACUGUAGCUUAGGAAUUUGAUUAGAUUUUUUUUGUCAUGCUACCGAUUUUAAACCUUCUCUCUGGCCCCAGGACCUAUCCAGAUCUGAACUGGCCAUCAUUCAGAAGAGGAAGGCAAGACAUAGCUAUUACUGUCAUUUUCAGAAAUCCCUGCUUUUGUGUCAGCUGCACAAACUGGAAGCUGAGUGACUCAC